GUCCCAUUUUGUCCCAUGUUGGAUCAGAAGUCUACUCAUCGGAAGUAAAGAAAACCGAGGUUUUGAUGGAGAAUUUCAAAGGGUGGCAGAGCUUGUCACCGGUGUCUUAUUUACUGACGAGGUACAUAUGCUGGAUAUGGAGUGUUUUUCGUACCUAAACCGUGCUUUGGAAAGCUCAUUAUCCCCAAAUGUAAUCUUUGCCACCAAUAGAGGGAUAUACCGUGAGGUAAUUUUCUAAUUUUGAAAAGUUCUAAUUUUUUUAAUUAAUGAUUUAUUUCUGGUAUUUGACUUGUACAGAAAUAGUCAAACACCUCCAUCUGGUCAAAAUUUGAAGUUAUCAUGAGACAGAUGAUUUAUUUUUCAGUAAUGAGAUUCUCUUGAAGAUUUUAUGUUUCAAACACUAAAAAAUUGAUAUUUUUUUUAUUUACCAUAGUUGUUAAUAGCGGUCGUUUGCUAUAGUGAAUAGCGUAGUGUGUUUAGGUCGAAGGUCGCUACACGGAAUGUAGCGAUAAAUAACGGGAUUUCAGUUUUUUCUUAAAUAUACAUAGCGAUUAAAAAUAGCUGGAUUUUAGGUUUUGGUUAAAAAUAGCGAAUUUUAAAAAAUUUAUUUAUUUUCUAAUGAUGUAAAUAAAUUUGGCAAAGGAAAUCGCUGGUUCAGCUUUGAUUUAGUCUUGUCCAGGCGGUUUUUGGCUGUCCAGGCCAUUUGAAACUGGUUUUGGUGGUUCAGAUUGUUUUUUGUGCCUGGAUGGACCAAGGUGCUCGUUGGACCUAGGCGUUAGUGAAGUUUCACUUGCGCUAACUAAACCAUUUUGGCCUGUCCACACAAACCAGUCGGUUUAGUUAAAGUGUAUUUUCUCUACCAUAUGUUCUCAAUUCAUUUUAUUGAUUUAUGGAAUAGAACUUUGAAGUGACUUGAUCUUUUUUAUGACUAUCAGACUAUAUUUGACUCUUUUUGGAAACGACGAGUUGUAAACUUGUUUCUGUUGCAGCCACGCAACCGUCCACAACAGCCACGACCAAUAGCUUCGCCGAGGUAACUACAGUUUCAUAUUUUGACAAAUCAUCUUAACUUUUAUACUGCACCAAAUGGUCUUUUCUUGCAUCUUUUGUUGAGUGUUUUUUCAGUUUUCUUGUCCCUGAGAUUACUGAAGACAAAAUCCAUCUGUUGGAAGGCUAAUUUUCUGUUGCAGGUUUGGCGAGCUCACUUCUGAAGAUCCAAACCUAUUGAAGUUGGUUUCAAAGAAUCUCAAGAUGACAUGUUUUACCGCAAGUCUUGUAUUUAUAUGCGAGAGAUUUAAUUAUGGUGUAGUAACAAUUAGAAGCUUUGCUAAAUUCAGACUAAUUUAUGAGUGACUUUUAAUUCUUUCUGCUAUCAAGCUUAAUCAGGCACCAGUAUUCAUAUA